rnacentral:rRNA from 1 species
UGGGGAAUUUUGGACAAUGGGCGCAAGCCUGAUCCAGCCAUGCCGCGUGCGGGAAGAAGGCCUUCGGGUUGUAAACCGCUUUUGUCAGGGAAGAAAAGCUUCAAGCUAAUAUCUUGAGGUGAUGACGGUACCUGAAGAAUAAGCACCGGCUAACUACGUGCCAGCAGCCGCGGUAAUACGUAGGGUGCAAGCGUUAAUCGGAAUUACUGGGCGUAAAGCGUGCGCAGGCGGUUGUGCAAGACAGGUGUGAAAUCCCCGGGCUUAACCUGGGAACUGCACUUGUGACUGCACAGCUUGAGUGCGGCAGAGGGGGAUGGAAUUCCGCGUGUAGCAGUGAAAUGCGUAGAUAUGCGGAGGAACACCGAUGGCGAAGGCAAUCCCCUGGGCCUGCACUGACGCUCAUGCACGAAAGCGUGGGGAGCAAACA